rnacentral:rRNA from 1 species
UACAGAGGGUGCGAGCGUUGUUCGGAAUUAUUGGGCGUAAAGCGCUUGUAGGCGGCUUGUUAAGUUCCGUGUGAAAUCCCCAGGCUUAACCUGGGAAGUGCGCGGAAAACUGGCGAGCUUGAAUGCCGUAGAGGGACGCGGAAUUCCCGGUGUAGAGGUGAAAUUCGUAGAUAUCGGGAGGAACACCAGUGGCGAAGGCGGCGACCUGGACGGACAUUGACGCUGAGACGCGAAAGCGUGGGGAGCAAACAGG